GCCGCGUAUAGACCCCCGGGGCCUGAAUU
rnacentral:sRNA from 1 species